GACAGAGGUGCCAAGCGUUAGGCGGAAUCACUGGGCUUAAAGCGUGUGUAGGCGGACUCGUAAGUACCUUGUGAAAUCCCACGGCUCAACCGUGGAACUGCUUGGUAUACUGCUUGUCUUGAGCCACUUAGGGGCUGUCGGAACAAACGGUGGAGCGGUGAAAUGCGUAGAUAUCGAGAGGAACACCUGCGGCGAAGGCGGGUUGCUGGGCUGACACUGACGCUGAAGCGCGAAAGCUAGGGGAGCGAACGGG
rnacentral:rRNA from 1 species